rnacentral:rRNA from 1 species
UACGUAGGGCGCAAGCGUUGUCCGGAAUUAUUGGGCGUAAAGAGCUCGUAGGCGGCUUGUCACGUCGGGUGUGAAAGCCCGGGGCUUAACCCCGGGUCUGCAUUCGGUACGGGCAGACUAGAGUGUGGUAGGGGAGACUGGAAUUCCUGGUGUAGCGGUGGAAUGCGCAGAUAUCAGGAGGAACACCGAUGGCGAAGGCAGGUCUCUGGGCCAUUACUGACACUGAGAAGCGAAAGCAUGGGGAGCGAACAGG